GUUGACCUCGGAUCAGGUAGGGAUACCCGCUGAAGAUAAGCAUAUCAAUAAGCG
rnacentral:rRNA from 1 species